rnacentral:rRNA from 1 species
GGCUCAGAACGAACGCUGGCGGCGUGCUUAACACAUGCAAGUCGAACGAGAAGUACGUAGCAAUACGUAUUGUAAAGUGGCGCACGGGUGAGUAACACGUGGGUAAUCUGCCCUUGAGUUUGGGAUAACCCCGCGAAAGCGGGGCUAAUACCGAAUAAGACCACGGGGACCAAAGUCCCUGGGGUAAAAGAUGGCCUCUAUUUAUAAGCUAUCACUUAAGGGUGAGCCCGCGGCCCAUUAGCUAGUUGGCAGGGUAAUGGCCUACCAAGGCAAUGAUGGGUAGCUGGUCUGAGAGGACGAUCAGCCACACUGGAACUGAGACACGGUCCAGACUCCUACGGGAGGCAGCAGUGGGGAAUAUUGCGCAAUGGGCGAAAGCCUGACGCAGCAACGCCGCGUGGGGGAUGAAGGUUUUCGGAUUGUAAACCCCUUUCGAUCGGAACGAAUCUCCUCCUGGUAAAUAAUCAGGAGGAUCGACGGUACCGGGAGAAGAAGCCACGGCUAACUCUGUGCCAGCAGCCGCGGUAAGACAGAGGUGGCAAGCGUUGUUCGGAUUUAUUGGGCGUAAAGCGAACGCAGGCGGUUUGGUAAGUCAGAGGUGAAAGACCACAGCUUAACUGUGGUAUUGCCUUUGAUACUGCCUUUCUUGAGUGGAGUAGGGGGAAGCGGAAUUCCGAGUGUAGAGGUGAAAUUCGUAGAUAUUCGGAGGAACACCGGUGGCGAAGGCGGCUUCCUGGACUCUAACUGACGCUCAUGUUCGAAAGCGUGGGUAGCAAACAGGAUUAGAUACCCUGGUAGUCCACGCCCUAAACGAUGGGCACUAGGUGUGGGAGGUAUCGACCCCUUCCGUGCCGCAGCUAACGCAUUAAGUGCCCCGCCUGGGG